rnacentral:rRNA from 1 species
GAACUAACAGAUUUACUUCGGUAAUGACGUUAGGAAAGCGAGCGGCGGAUGGGUGAGUAACACGUGGGGAACCUGCCCCAUAGUCUGGGAUACCACUUGGAAACAGGUGCUAAUACCGGAUAAGAAAGCAGAUCGCAUGAUCAGCUUUUAAAAGGCGGCGUAAGCUGUCGCUAUGGGAUGGCCCCGCGGUGCAUUAGCUAGUUGGUAAGGUAAAGGCUUACCAAGGCGAUGAUGCAUAGCCGAGUUGAGAGACUGAUCGGCCACAUUGGGACUGAGACACGGCCCAAACUCCUACGGGAGGCAGCAGUAGGGAAUCGUCCACAAUGGACGCAAGUCUGAUGGAGCAACGCCGCGUGAGUGAAGAAGGUUUUCGGAUCGUAAAGCUCUGUUGUUGGUGAAGAAGGAUAGAGGUAGUAACUGGCCUUUAUUUGACGGUAAUCAACCAGAAAGUCACGGCUAACUACGUGCCAGCAGCCGCGGUAAUACGUAGGUGGCAAGCGUUGUCCGGAUUUAUUGGGCGUAAAGCGAGCGCGGGCGGAAGAAUAAGUCUGAUGUGAAAGCCCUCGGCUUAACCGAGGAACUGCAUCGGAAACUGUUUUUCUUGAGUGCAGAAGAGGAGAGUGGAACUCCAUGUGUAGCGGUGGAAUGCGUAGAUAUAUGGAAGAACACCAGUGGCGAAGG